rnacentral:rRNA from 1 species
UACGAAGGGGGCUAGCGUUGUUCGGAAUUACUGGGCGUAAAGCGUGCGCAGGCGGCCUUCCAAGUCAGGGGUGAAAGCCCAGAGCUCAACUCUGGAAUUGCCUUUGAGACUGUGAGGCUUGAGUACGGGAGAGGUGAGUGGAAUUCCCAGUGUAGAGGCGAAAUUCGUAGAUAUUGGGAAGAACACCGGUGGCGAAGGCGGCUCACUGGCCCGAAACUGACGCUCAUGCACGACAGCGUGGGGAUCAAACAGG